AUGAAAAAGGAAAAGCAGGUAACUUUCUUUUACCCUUUUGCUCACUCUAGUUCAAUUUACAAGUCAAAGUUUCUGGGUCUUUGUGGUUUCAGUUUUACACAGUUUUUGAAAUUGGUUAGUUGGUCUCAAUCAACUAGGGUAGUUUUUUAUUCUAUGUUUAAGUUUGAUGUUUAUGUCUUUUGUUAA